rnacentral:snoRNA from 1 species
UCUGGUGAUGAGAAUGAGUCGUAAUGACUCUACCUAUAAACCCAGCUCGUCGAUAUUAUUCAUCAUGAGAAGAGAUUUAUUCUGAAG